GACGAACGCUGGCGGCGUGCUUAACACAUGCAAGUCGAACGGAAAGGCCCUGCUUUUGUGGGGUGCUCGAGUGGCGAACGGGUGGGUAACACGUGAGUAACCUGCCCUUGACUUUGGGAUAACUUCAGGAAACUGGGGCUAAUACCGGAUAGGAGCUCCUGCUGCAUGGUGGGGGUUGGAAAGUUUCGGCGGUUGGGGAUGGACUCGCGGCUUAUCAGCUUGUUGGUGGGGUAGUGGCUUACCAAGGCUUUGACGGGUAGCCGGCCUGAGAGGGUGACCGGCCACAUUGGGACUGAGAUACGGCCCAGAUUCCUACGGGAGGCAGCAGUGGGGAAUAUUGCACAAUGGGCGGAAGCCUGAUGCAGCAACGCCGCGUGCGGGAUGACGGCCUUCGGGUUGUAAACCGCUUUCGCCUGUGACGAAGCGUGAGUGACGGUAAUGGGUAAAGAAGCACCGGCUAACUACGUG
rnacentral:rRNA from 1 species